UUACAACACAUUUCUAUAUGCUUUGUUAGUCAUCUUUCUUCUUAAUGAUUUAAUUUUUCUUAAGCUUCACUUUAUCAGCAUAGCUAGACGUUAAUGAAAUUGACUUGAGGAAAUACAUUCCCAUGCGGCAGGUAGAAUUAUCCAAAGAAAGGCUUUUAAUUUGGGGAGGUUCUUCUGAUGUCCCUGCAAUUGGAAGUGAACUGGACGAGCAACAAUAGGACCUCUGAACCUCUAUCGGGAGGGCGAUAACUGACUCAAAUUCAGGAUUUUAAUCAAUUGUGCCUAAAUUUAGGCCUACAAGCACUUCAGCCUUUUGACGUCACUCGUGCUAUGAGUAGACCAUAUAGAGGAUUUGCUUUUAUUUAUUUAUUUAUUUGAGACCAUUUUUAAUUUAUUGUAAUAAAUAUUAUAUUUUUUUAUUAAGAAGUAAUAUAAAUUUUAUUUAAUAUUCA